GUGGGGAAUAUUGGGCAAUGGGGGCAACCCUGACCCAGCGACGCCGCGUGAGGGAAGAAGGCCUUAGGGUCGUAAACCUCUGUUGUGUGGGAAGAAGGAAGUGACGGUACCACACGAGGAAGUCCCGGCUAACUACGUGCCAGCAGCCGCGGUAAUACGUAGGGGACGAGCGUUGUCCGGAAUUACUGGGCGUAAAGGGCGCGUAGGCGGUCAUUUAAGUCAGCUGUGAAAUGGUCCGGCUCAACCGGAUCAUGCGGUUGAAACUGGAUGACUGGAGUGCUGGAGAGGCAAGUGGAAUUCCCAGUGUAGCGGUGAAAUGCGUAGAUAUUGGGAAGAACACCGGUGGCGAAGGCGACUUGCUGGCCAGCAACUGACGCUGAGGCGCGAAAGCCAGGGGAGCAAACGGGAUUAGAAACCCUAGUAGUCC
rnacentral:rRNA from 1 species